UACAGUGACAGCUUCUUCUCGUUCUAGGGUUCGCCCACUGUAUCGAUACGCACUUUCUCUCUCUGGAUUUUUAUUUUAUUUUUAUUUUUUCCCUCUGAGAGUCCAAGCAAUUUUCUCGCUAGCCAAACGGUGGAUUCCGAGAUUGCGAGGUGUUUUAUUGGUUGAUCUGUCUGUUUUCCUAUAAAUUUUUUAGGUUUCAAGGUGGUUUGGUUGGAUCGGAGUGAGAUUUGAUUGGUGCAAACCAUGUUUUUACUCGAUUGGUUCUAUGGAGUUCUAGCAUCGCUUGGUUUAUGGCAGAAGGAGGCCAAGAUCUUGUUUCUAGGGCUGGAUAAUGCCGGAAAGACGACUUUGCUUCAUAUGUUGAAAGAUGAGAGAUUAGUUCAGCACCAGCCGACCCAGUACCCAACAUCAGAAGAGUUGAGUAUUGGGAAAAUCAAGUUUAAGGCAUUCGAUUUGGGAGGGCAUCAGAUUGCUCGCAGAGUUUGGAAGGAUUACUAUGCAAAGGUGGAUGCAGUUGUUUACCUGGUGGAUGCCUAUGACAAGGAGAGAUUUGCAGAGUCGAAAAAAGAGCUGGAUGCUCUCCUCUCCGACGAGGCCUUGGCCCAAUGUUCCAUUCCUUGUUCUGGGCAACAAGAUCGAUAUCCCAUACGCUGCCUCAGAAGAUGAGCUGCGUUACCACCUGGGUCUAACAAACUUCACCACAGGCAAGGGAAAGGUAAGCCUGGCUGACUCAAAUGUCCGGCCCCUUGAGGUAUUCAUGUGCAGCAUCGUCCGCAAAAUGGGUUAUGGAGAUGGCUUCAAGUGGCUCUCCCAGUACAUCAAGUAGAGCACAACAGGAUGUAAGAUUUGGCUCAUCUUAAACUUUAUUACUAAACCAAAGCUGGACAUGUGUCUGUUUGAAAUCACUAUUGCAAAUAUUUCACUUAUUUUACAUGUUUUUGUUAUUUUUUUUCUUGGUGGUGAAUGACAGACAUGCUCUCCAUGCCCACAGUGAAAUUUUCAGAUUUGUUGUCUGAUGUUAAUACAGAGUUGGAGAGGGAGUUGUUUGUUGUGGGUUGGUUGUUAUUAUUACAAAGUAUGAAUCAAUUGUUUACUAUCACUGCCUUCACAAA